rnacentral:rRNA from 1 species
UCAAGUGACUAAGUGCAUGUGGCGGAUGCCUUGGCGAUCACAGGCGAAGAAAGACGCGGCAGCCUGCGAAAAGCUGCGGGGAGCUGGCAAACGAGCUUUGAUCCGCAGAUAUCUGAAUGGGGGAACCCACACCGCAAGGUGUAUCCGUGACUGAAUACAUAGGUUACGGAGGCGAACGAGGAGAACUGAAACAUCUAAGUAUCCUCAGGAAAAGAAAUCAACCGAGAUUCCGGCAGUAGCGGCGAGCGAACCCGGAGGAGCCUAGCUUUUGAUAGUACGAACUUUAGCCGAAAGGUCCUGGAAAGGCCUGCUAUAGUGGGUGAUAGCCCCGUAGGCGAAAGAGUUCGUAUGGUACUAAGGAAGCGAGAAGUAGAGCGGGACACGUGGAAUCCUGUUCGAAGAUGGGGGGACCAUCCUCCAAGGCUAAAUACUCGUGAUCGACCGAUAGUGAACCAGUACCGUGAGGGAAAGGCGAAAAGAACCCCGGGAGGGGAGUGAAAUAGAACCUGAAACCGCAUGCAUACAAACAGUAGGAGCCUCGUCAGAGGUGACUGCGUACCUUUUGCAUAAUGGGUCAGCGACUUACAUUCUGUGGCGAGCUUAACCGAAUAGGGGAGGCGCAGCGAAAGCGAGUUCGAAAUGAGCGUCCAGUCGCAGGGUGUAGACCCGAAACCAGAUGAGCUAUCCAUGGCCAGGUUGAAGGUGUGGUAACACACACUGGAGGACCGAACCGACUAGUGUUGCAAAAUUAGCGGAUGAGCUGUGGAUAGGGGUGAAAGGCCAAACAAAUCUGGAGAUAGCUGGUUCUCCCCGAAAACUAUUGAGGUAGUGCCUCGUGUGUCGCUCCAGGGGGUAGAGCACUGUUUUGGCUAGGGGGACAUGGAGUCUUACCAAACCAAGGCAAACUCCGAAUACCUGGAAGCGUAAGCACGGGAGACAGAGCACCGGGUGCUAACGUCCGGACUCAAAAGGGAAACAACCCAGACCGCCGGCUAAGGUCCCCAAUAACAGCUAAGUGGAAAACGAAGUGGAAAGGCCGUGACAACCAGGAAGUUGGCUUAGAAGCAGCCAUCCUUCAAAGAAAGCGUAAUAGCUCACUGGUCGAGUCCUUCUGCGCGGAAGAUGUAACGGGGCUAAGCUGUUAACCGAAGCCGCGGAUGCACUGGUUAUCCAGUGCGUGGUAGGGGAGCGUUCUGUAAGUCUGCGAAGGCGGUUCGAGAGGACUGCUGGAGAUAUCAGAAGUGCGAAUGCUGACAUGAGUAACGUUAAAGCAGGUGAAAAGCCUGCUCGCCGUAAGCCCAAGGAUUCCUGCUCUACGUUCAUCGGAGCAGGGUGAGUCGGCUCCUAAGGUCAGGCCGAAAGGCGUAGCCGAUGGGAAUCAGGUUAAUAUUCCUGAACCUGCGUCAGAUGCGAUGGGGGGACGGAGCAUGAAAGAUCAUCCGGGUGUUGGAUGUCCCGGUUGACGAGCGUAGGAGGUCUGCAGGCAAAUCCGCAGACGCAUCUCCAAGGCGAAGUCACGUGCCGCCACGGCGGCGAAGUGAUCGGAAGUGCUUCCAAGAAAAGCCUCUAAGCACCAGUCUGACGCGGACCGUACCGCAAACCGACACUGGUGGGCGAGCUGAAUAUGCUCAGGCGCUUGAGAGAACUCGGGAGAAGGAACUCGGCAAAUUGACACCGUAACUUCGGAAGAAGGUGUGCCGUAGUAGCGUGAGAGGAGAGACACCUUGAGCGUGAAUCGGUCUCAGAGAAUAGGUGGCUGCGACUGUUUAUUAAAAACACAGCACUCUGCAAAGUCGAAAGACGACGUAUAGGGUGUGAUGCCUGCCCGGUGCUGGAAGAUUAAUUGAUGGGGUGAGAGCCCUUGAUCGAAGUCCCAGUAAACGGCGGCCGUAACUAUAACGGUCCUAAGGUAGCGAAAUUCCUUGUC